CGCUGGCGGCGUGCUUAAGACAUGCAAGUCGAACGAGAAAGGGGCUUCGGCCCUGAGUACAGUGGCGCACGGGUGAGUAACGCGUGGGUAAUCUGCCUUCAGGUUCGGGAUAACACGGGGAAACCUGCGCUAAUACCGGGCAAGACCACGGGGUCCUCGGACCCUGCGGCCAAAGGUGGCCUCUUCUUGAAAGCUAUCGCCUGAAGAUGAGCCCGCGUCCCAUUAGCUAGUUGGUGAGGUAACGGCUCACCAAGGCAGUGAUGGGUAGCUGGUCUGAGAGGACGAUCAGCCACACUGGAACUGAGACACGGUCCAGACUCCUACGGGAGGCAGCAGUCGGGAAUUUUGGGCAAUGGGGGCAACCCUGACCCAGCAACGCCGCGUGAGCGAUGAAGGCCUUCGGGUCGUAAAGCUCUGUCGGGAGGGAAGAACUGCCAAUGGGCAAACAGGCCAUUGGUUUGACGGUACCUCCAGAGGAAGCUCCGGCUAACUCCGUG
rnacentral:rRNA from 1 species